rnacentral:rRNA from 1 species
GACGAACGCUGGCGGCGUGGACUAGGCAUGCAAGUCGGACGGUAGGGCUUUAUCGUAAGAUAGAGUUUGAGAGUGGCGAACGGGUGAGUAACACGUAGGAAUCUACCCUUAAGACGGGGACAACCCAGGGAAACUUGGGCUAAUACCGGAUGAGAGUGCGAGAGAUUGCAUUUAAAAGGAUGGCGAAAGUUGUCGCUUAGGGAUGAGCCUGCGGUCUAUUAGUUAGUUGGUGAGGUAAGAGCUCACCAAGGCGAUGAUAGAUAGGCGGCCUUAACGGGUGGUCGCCCACACUGGGAUUGAGAUACGGCCCAGACUCCUACGGGAGGCAGCAGUCGAGAAUAGUCUACAAUGGUCGGAAGACUGAUAGUGCGACGCCGCGUGAACGAUGAAUCCCUUCGGGUGUAAAGUUCUUUUAUAUGUGAGCAGUGCUUCUUAUAUUAACAGUAUGGGGAGAGAGAUAUUAGCAUAUGAAUAAGCAACGGCUAACUCCGUGCC